ACGGCUCAGUAACACGUGGAUAACCUACCCUCAGAUCUGGGAUAACUCCGGGAAACUGGAGAUAAUACCGGAUAAUCCGUGAACGCUGGAAUGCCUCACGGUUGAAAGCUUUAGCGUCUGAGGAUGGGUCUGCGGCCGAUUAGGUAGUUGCUGGGGUAACGUCCCAACAAGCCGAUAAUCGGUACGGGUUGUGAGAGCAAGAGCCCGGAGAUGGAUUCUGAGACACGAAUCCAGGUCCUACGGGGCGCAGCAGGCGCGAAAACUUUACACUGCGCGAAAGCGCGAUAAGGGGACCUCGAGUGCGUGCGCAAUGCGUACGCUUUUCAGAUGCCUAAAAAGCAUCUGGAAUAAGGGCCGGGCAAGACCGGUGCCAGCCGCCGCGGUAACACCGGCGGCUCAAGUGGUGGCCGCUAUUAUUGGGCUUAAAGGGUCCGUAGCCGGACCAGUUAGUCCCUUGGGAAAUCUUACGGCUUAACCGUAAGGCUGCCAAUGGAUACUGCUGGUCUUGGGACCGGGAGAGGCAAGAGGUACCUCAGGGGUAGGAGUGAAAUCCUGUAAUCCUUGAGGGACCGCCAGUGGCGAAGGCGUCUUGCUAGAACGGGUCCGACGGUGAGGGACGAAAGCUAGGGGCACGAACCGGAUUAGAUACCCGGGUAGUCCUAGCCGUAAACGAUGCGAGCUAGGUGUCACGUGGAUUGCGAAUCCAUGUGGUGCCGUAGGGAAACCGUGAAGCUCGCCGCCUGGGAAGUACGGCCGCAAGGCUGAAACUUAAAGGAAUUGGCGGGGGAGCAC
rnacentral:rRNA from 1 species